UGCGAUGAGUCGAAGUAAUCAGACGAAUUUAUUCGUUCCGCUGCGGCGGCUAGUGAUUUUUUUUCGAGAGGGGCACAAAUGCUGACGGAUUUCCAGCGUGCCUGUAGGUGUUCAUUGUGGAAUGA
rnacentral:ncRNA from 19 species